CGGCCACGUCUGCCAGCAGCACCUCCAGGACGUCUGUGCCCAGCGAGGCCAGCCCCGCCAGCAGCCCAGCAGUGCCAGUGGCCAGGACGUCGCCUGCCCCCAGCAGCCCUCUCAGCACCAGGCUGCCAUCUGCCGCCCCUUCCACAGCCUCCUCCCCAUCGCCCCCAAGCUCCCAGCUCAGGCCCACACCUACGACCCUGAGGCCCAAGCCCUCUCCCCCGAGGACCAGUGCUCCCACAGAGUCGCCUGCGUCCUCCGCACCCUCCACAGCCAAAACCAGCCCGCUGCCCUCAUCUGCGUCCUCCCCGCUCUCAACUGUGUCCUCAGCAGUGCCGAGCUCCUCACAGCCAGCCUCCACCCCCAAAGAGACAACGGUGCCUCACAUCGUGCCGCCCGUGAGCACGGAGAAGACCACCCCGGCCACGUCUGCCAGCAGCACCUCCAGGACGUCCGUGCCCAGCGAGGCCAGCCCCGCCAGCAGCCCAGCAGUGCCAGUGGCCAGGACAUCGCCUGCCCCCAGCAGCCCUCUCAGCACCAGGCUGCCAUCUGCUGCCCCUUCCACAGCCUCCUCCCCAUCGCCCCCAAGCUCCCGGCUCAGGCCCACGCCUACGACCCUGAGGCCCAAGCCCUCUCCCCCGAGGACCAGUGCUCCCACAGAGUCGCCUGCGUCCUCCGCACCCUCCACAGCCAAAACCAGCCCGCUGCCCUCAUCUACGUCCUCUCCACUCUCAACUGUGUCCUCAGCAGUGACGAGCUCCUCACAGCCAGGUAAGACUCCCUCCUGCCUUCCCUCUGCUCUGCUUGCUCUUUGUAGGGAACACAAUAGCCAUUAUUCUUCCUAUCCCUCUUUCCUCCUCCUUCACAACAUUUAUCUCGCAUCCUGAUAUCAAAUGGUGUGGAACAGCCACUGGCUGUGUCCCCUCUCAGCUCCUUGUGAAUUUCCAGCCUCCUCACAGGCAGGGCAGCAUCAGAAGUAGAGAAGUCCUUGACUAUGUGUGAGCACUGCUCAUCAACACUUCAAUCAACAAUGUUUUAUCAUCAUUAUACACAACUGAAAUUGAAAACACCUCACUGUAGACAAUACUGUGAUGAAAAUGGAGUGUAUCACAGCGAAAAACCAUGAAAAAGACCUUCUCUGUUUCUCUGUCUGCUCCAGAGCAAGUGGGCUCGGGCUGGGCAAGAGCUAGGGAGAGGACAGAGUUGGCAGAGCUUACAGCAAGAGCCCAGCGAGCCAUUCCUUACCGUACACCAAAACGCUCAGCAAGAUGAUGAGGGUUGCAUGUUUCAGAACGAGCCAUUCCUCAGAGCCUGGCUGGGCCUGGGU
rnacentral:lncRNA from 1 species